GGACCAUGCAUCUAAGAGAUUAGACGUUCCCUUCGGGGACAUGGAUACAGGUGGUGCAUGGUUGUCGUCAGCUCGUGUCGUGAGAUGUUGGGUUAAGUCCCGCAACGAGCGCAACCCUUAUUAUCAGUUGCCAGCAUUAAGUUGGGCACUCUGGUGAGACUGCCGGUGACAAACCGGAGGAAGGUGGGGAUGACGUCAAAUCAUCAUGCCCCUUAUGACCUGGGCUACACACGUGCUACAAUGGAUGGUACAACGAGUUGCGAACUCGCGAGAGUAAGCUAAUCUCUUAAAGCCAUUCUCAGUUCGGAUUGUAGGCUGCAACUCGCCUACAUGAAGUCGGAAUCGCUAGUAAUCGCGGAUCAGCAUGCCGCGGUGAAUACGUUCCCGGGUCUGUACCACACCGA
rnacentral:rRNA from 2 species